rnacentral:rRNA from 1 species
AGUGAACGCUGGCGGUAGGCCUAACACAUGCAAGUCGAACGGCAGCACAGUAAGAGCUUGCUCUUACGGGUGGCGAGUGGCGGACGGGUGAGGAAUUCAUCGGAAUCUACUUUUUCGUGGGGGAUAACGUAGGGAAACUUACGCUAAUACCGCAUACGACCUACGGGUGAAAGCAGGGGAUCUUCGGACCUUGCGCGAUUGAAUGAGCCGAUGUCGGAUUAGCUAGAUGGCGGGGUAAAGGCCCACCAAGGCGACGAUCCGUAGCUGGUCUGAGAGGAUGAUCAGCCACACUGGAACUGAGACACGGUCCAGACUCCUACGGGAGGCAGCAGUGGGGAAUAUUGGACAAUGGGCGCAAGCCUGAUCCAGCCAUACCGCGUGGGUGAAGAAGGCCUUCGGGUUGUAAAGCCCUUUUGUUGGGAAAGAAAAGCGGCAGGUUAAUACCCCGCUGUUCUGACGGUACCCAAAGAAUAAGCACCGGCUAACUUCGUG